rnacentral:siRNA from 1 species
UAUUGUAGUUCACAAAAUGCUUCC